rnacentral:rRNA from 1 species
CCUACGGGUGGCAGCAGUGAGGAAUAUUGGUCAAUGGGCGCGAGCCUGAACCAGCCAAGUAGCGUGAAGGAUGACUGCCCUACGGGUUGUAAACUUCUUUUAUAAAGGAAUAAAGUGAGGCACGUGUGCCUUUUUGUAUGUACUUUAUGAAUAAGGAUCGGCUAACUCCGUGCCAGCAGCCGCGGUAAUACGGAGGAUCCGAGCGUUAUCCGGACUUAUUGGGUUUAAAGGGAGCGUAGAUGGGGUGUUAAGUCAGUUGUGAAAGUUUGCGGCUCAACCGUAAAAUUGCAAUUGAUACUGGCAGACUUGAGUACAGUUGAGGUAAGCGGAAUUCGAGGUGAAGCGGUGAAAUGCGUAGAUAUCACGAAGAACUCCGAUUGCGAAGGCAGCUUACUAAGCUGCCACUGACAUUGAUGCUCGAAAGUGUGGGUAUCAAACAGGAUUAGAUACCCUUGUAGUC